CAAGAUGAUUUUUGUCCCAUUAUAUUUGGUAGACCUUUCCUGAACACUGUUAACGCUAAAAUAGACUAUGAGAAGGAAACCAUUAGUGUAAGUUUCAGGGAUGUGUCUGAGUUUAAUUUCUCCAAAUUCCGUAGACAACCUCGUGAUAAAGAAUUGCCUAAUAAAGAUGAAAUUAUUGGUCUUGCUUCUAUUGCUGUGCCUCCUACUGAUCCUUUAAAACAAUAUUGGCUAGACCAUGAAAAUGAUAUGUUCAUGAAGGAAAGAAAUGAAAUGGAUGAAAUAUUCUUUAAAAAUGCCUAUCUUGAAACACAAUUUGCAUGUUGA
rnacentral:rRNA from 1 species